CAAACAAUUACGGCUUCAAUUGCUUAUUCAUCAGAGAAUGUGAAGGUACCUGAUGGUGCAGAGACACCGCUUCUCUUGUAUGCCCAGCAGUGUAAAACCACCGUCUGUUGUGAAAAUGAKAUAUGAGAAUAAUUGUGGUCCUUUGGACUUUCAUACGAGACCACUUGAACUGCGCAAAGACAUGAGGAAAAAGGAAGAUCUCUGAUCUUUAUUUUACUGGAAGAGCUGUCGAAAGUUGGUGCUCUGAGUUUUUUUCUCCAUUGAAAACAAUCCAACAAACCAAAUCAACCAACCAACCUYCCUCUUCAGUUGACUAACAGCAGUUUGGGUCGACUGUGCGGCAGUCACAGCUUCCAGAUGGCAGCAGUAGAAAUUCUUCAGUGUGGAACUAGCAGUAUUUUCCACAUAUCUUCCUUCCUUUCCCCCUUUUCCUGUAUAAUAGUCUACUUUUCCUUCAUGUUGAAACUGCAAGGUAAUCAGCAAUUUGCAUUUCUCGUACGGUACGAAGCGACACACUCGGAGCUAAUCGUGAUCACCCAGGCAAGUGUCACUGUGAGCAGACGAACAAAAACAUCUGCUCAGCGUACAGGAGUAGGUAAUCAAAAMGGCAACAAAGAUGUUAACCUCUCUACAGCAAGGGAGGAAAACAUAAUCAMAAAUGCCAGAGYGCCUCUUGCUAUGCAAGCGGUGUGYCACGCUCCAGGCACCACGUGGGAUGUUCUCAUUCUACCUAGAAAAAUGGGAAAAAAAAAUGCAAUAGUUUCAGAUAUUGAGUGGGGGUUGCUGGGC